UCCCUGGUGGUCCAAUGAUGAAGACUCCAUGCUCUCACUGACGAGGACCCAGGUUCGAUCCCUGGUCAGGGAA
rnacentral:tRNA from 1 species